rnacentral:misc_RNA from 1 species
GAUGAAGAACGUAGCAAAAUGCGAUAAGUAAUGUGAAUUGCAGAAUUCAGUGAAUCAUCGAAUCUUUGAACGCACAUUGCGCCCGCCAGUAUUCUGGCGGGCAUGCCUGUUCGAGCGUCAUUUCAACCCUCAAGCCCUCGGGUUUGGUGUUGGGGAUCGGCGAGCCUUUCUGGCAAGCCGGCCCCGAAAUCUAGUGGCGGUCUCGCUGCAGCCUCCAUUGCGUAGUAGUAAAACCCUCGCAACUGGAACGCGGCGCGGCCAAGCCGUUAAAUCCCCAACUUCUGAAUGUUGACCUCGGAUCAGGUAGGAAUACCCGCUGAACUUAAGCAUAUCAAUAAGCGGAGGA